rnacentral:misc_RNA from 1 species
GAUGAAGAACGUAGCGAAAUGCGAUAGGUAAUGUGAAUUGCAGAAUUCAGUGAAUCAUCGAAUCUUUGAACGCACAUUGCGCCCCCUGGUAUUCCGGGGGGCAUGCCUGUUCGAGCGUCAUUUCACCACUCAAGCCUCGCUUGGUAUUGGGCAACGCGGUCCGCCGCGUGCCUCAAAUCGACCGGCUGGGUCUUCUGUCCCCUAAGCGUUGUGGAAACUAUUCGCUAAAGGGUGUUCGGGAGGCUACGCCGUAAAACAACCCCAUUUCUAAGGUUGACCUCGGAUCAGGUAGGGAUACCCGCUGAACUUAAGCAUAUCAUAAGCGGAGGA